rnacentral:sRNA from 1 species
AUUGUUGGUGUCUUCCACCUGACCAGAGGCGAUGAUAUCUGCCAUAACGUGUGAAGCAGAAGUGUUGUUAGGGCCGUUACAACCACCAGCGAAGAUAU